GAAGAGUGUAAAUGGUGCUCCUGGCUGGCUAAAGGGAAAACUGUAGCACCAUGGACAGCUCAGUGCUGGCAGGGAUUGGGGCAGUGAGGAAGAGUUUUGGCUGGGUGCUGGCCUGAGCUUAGAUGGUCCCUGAGGUGUGCGAGGGAGUGAGGAAGAGUGGCAGCAGGCAGCAUUCCUGACAGACUACAAUCCUCUUGGGGAGUGAGGGUCCCACUCUUUGAUGGUUCUCUGGAGAAUCCACUUACAGGUACUGGAAGCGGAACAGGAAGGAAUAAACUAAAGAUCGUAAGCAAUUUGAGGGCAAGGACUGUCUUUUUUGCAGAACAUUGUACAGUGCCUAGCACCACGGGUUCCAAUCUUCGAUUAAGGCCACUAGGAGCUGCUGCAAUACGAUUAUUAAACAACGACAAUUGCUACAUGCUUCACAUACUGGGACGAGAACUGGAUGAAGAAUAUGAAUCAGCCUGAAAUGUUGUUCUGCUCUGAGCUGUGACUCAGUAA